UACAGAGGGUAGCGACAUAGCGAUAUGAAGCCAAUCUCAAAAAGUGCGUCUCAGUUCGGAUUGGAGUCUGCAACUCGACUCCAUGAAGCUGGAAUCGCUAGUAAUCGCAUAUCAGCAAUGAUGCGGUGAAUACGUUCCCGGACCUUGUACACACCGCCCGUCAAGCCAUGGGAGUUGGGUAUGCCUGAAGAUGGUUGCUGUAAGGCGCUAUUUAGGGCAGAACUAGCGACUGGGGCUAAGUCGUAACAAGGUAGCCGUACCGGAAGGUGUGGCUGGAACACCUCCUU
rnacentral:rRNA from 13 species